rnacentral:rRNA from 1 species
AGGCUUAAACACAUGCAAGUCGAGGGGUACUGCCGAUUUAUCGGCAGACGACCGGCGCACGGGUGCGUAACGCGUAUGCAAUCUACCUUCACAGAGGGAUAGCCCAGAGAAAUUUGGAUUAAUACCUCAUUAGUAUAGCAGUUUCGCAUGAAACCACUAUUAGAGUUCCAACGGUGAAAGAUGAGCAUGCGUCCCAUUAGCUAGAUGGUAAGGUAACGGCUUACCAUGGCAAUGAUGGGUAGGGGUCCUGAGAGGGAGAUCCCCCCACACUGGUACUGAGACACGGACCAGACUCCUACGGGAGGCAGCAGUGAGGAAUAUUGGACAAUGGGCGCAAGCCUGAUCCAGCCAUGCCGCGUGCAGGAAUAAGGUCCUAUGGAUUGUAAACUGCUUUUAUACAGGAAGAAACACACCCUCGUGAGGGUACUUGACGGUACUGUAUGAAUAAGGACCGGCUAACUCCGUG